rnacentral:rRNA from 1 species
AUGUCACAACCCUCCUAUGCGCCAUAUUACAUGAGAGGCUUCAGUGGAGGAUGGGGGCAGCCCCCAAUGGCUCCUUAUGCUUUCCAUAUGGGAUGGGCAGCACCUAGAAGGCCUGCUCGCGAGAGGCUUUAUUAUCCCACACAAGGCCGUUUGAGCUAUGGUGCUAAUCGGCCAACAAAAAUUUCUCCAAGUAAGGCCAAUAAAAAAGUGUGGCGUGUUAAGUCAUCUAAUGCGGAAAUUUCAGAAUGCGACAAGCAAAAGGAGAUCGAAAAGCCGGUUGUUGGUAAUCUGGCUACUUCUAAUGGUGAUAUUGUUAUUGUUCAGCAGGGUUCCAUGGUUAGUGAUCAUGAGGCGAGCACAAGCAAGGCCAAACCAAGGGAUCCCAAAUAUACUCAACCUAAGUGGUGUCCUUCCGGUUUAACCAAGACCAUGAAAAGGAGAUUACAACGCAUGAGGAACCACGAGAAGGUAGAGCACAAAUAG